GCUUGGACAUAUUUUAUCGAAGUAUUAAACAAUGAAACCAUGAACUGUUCAUAUUUUCUAUUUAAAUAAUCAUCAUACUUGCAAAUAGAACACACAAGUAGCAAGCCAGGGUUAGAACCCUUAUUAGUUCAUAAAAAAUGAAUUGCAAUUCAUCUUUGAUCAGAUUAAGAUGAUAUGUUGACCCACACGUAGUCUACGUUGUCUUCCUUUGUCUCUCUCUCUGUAUGAGUACUUUUUUUUUAUCAUUUGAC
rnacentral:lncRNA from 1 species